rnacentral:rRNA from 1 species
CCCGUAAACCCCUGUCAUUUGUGAACAAGUUGAUUCACCUAACACGUGUAUCAUUGAUUGUAGCGAAAGAGGAAGGGACGGCUAACUCUGUGC